AUUGAACGCUGGCGGCAGGCUUAACACAUGCAAGUCGAGCGAGCGGCGGACGGGUGAGUAAUGUCUGGGACACUGCCUGCUGGAGGGGGAUAACUACUGGACACGGUAGCUCAUACCGCAUACCAUCAUAUGUGACCCGAUGGGAUUAGCUAGUGGGUGGGGUAAUGGCUCACCUAGGCGACGAUCCCUAGCUGGUCUGAGAGGAGGACCAGCCAAACUGGAACUGAGACACGGGCCAGACUCCUACGGGAGGCAGCAGUGGGGAAUAUUGCACAAUGGGCGCAAGCCUGAUGCAGCCAUGCCGCGUGUGUGAAGAAGGCCUUCGGGUUGUAAAGCACUUUAAGCGAGGAGGCGUUACUCGCAGAAGAAGCACCGGCUAACUCCGUGCCAGCAGCCGCGGUAAUUC
rnacentral:rRNA from 1 species